AAGUCGUAACAAGGUCUCCGUUGGUGAACCAGCGGAGGGAUCAUUACUGAGUUAUCCAAAAACUCCCAACCCUAUGUGAACUUACCACUGUUGCCUCGGCGAGCUGCGCUACCCUGUAGCUACUUUUGUAGCGACCUGGGAGCGCGUUAUAGGCUCGCCAGAGGACCACUAAACUCUGUUUUAUUUUGUAUCUCUGAAUUUUACAACUGAAAUCAGUUAAAACUUUCAACAACGGAUCUCUUGGUUCUG
rnacentral:misc_RNA from 1 species